UUAAGUUAUUAAGGGCGCACGGUGGAUGCCUUGGCACUAGAAGCCGAUGAAGGACGUUACUAACGACGAUAUGCUUUGGGGAGCUGUAAGUAAGCUUUGAUCCAGAGAUUUCCGAAUGGGGAAACCCAGCAUGAGUUAUGUCAUGUUAUCGAUAUGUGAAUACAUAGCAUAUCAGAAGGCACACCCGGAGAACUGAAACAUCUUAGUACCCGGAGGAAGAGAAAGAAAAUUCGAUUCCCUUAGUAGCGGCGAGCGAAACGGGAAGAGCCCAAACCAACAAGCUUGCUUGUUGGGGUUGUAGGACACUCUAUACGGAGUUACAAAGGACGACAUUAGACGAAUCAUCUGGAAAGAUGAAUCAAAGAAGGUAAUAAUCCUGUAGUCGAAAAUGUUGUCUCUCUUGAGUGGAUCCUGAGUACGACGGAGCACGUGAAAUUCCGUCGGAAUCUGGGAGGACCAUCUCCUAAGGCUAAAUACUCUCUAGUGACCGAUAGUGAACCAGUACCGUGAGGGAAAGGUGAAAAGCACCCCGGAAGGGGAGUGAAAUAGAACCUGAAACCGUGUGCUUACAAGUAGUCAGAGCCCGUUAAUGGGUGAUGGCGUGCCUUUUGUAGAAUGAACCGGCGAGUUACGAUUUGAUGCAAGGUUAAGCAGUAAAUGUGGAGCCGUAGCGAAAGCGAGUCUGAAUAGGGCGUUUAGUAUUUGGUCGUAGACCCGAAACCAGGUGAUCUACCCUUGGUCAGGUUGAAGUUCAGGUAACACUGAAUGGAGGGCCGAACCGACUUACGUUGAAAAGUGAGCGGAUGAACUGAGGGUAGCGGAGAAAUUCCAAUCGAACCUGGAGAUAGCUGGUUCUCUCCGAAAUAGCUUUAGGGCUAGCCUCAAGUGAUGAUUAUUGGAGGUAGAGCACUGUUUGGACGAGGGGCCCCUCUCGGGUUACCGAAUUCAGACAAACUCCGAAUGCCAAUUAAUUUAACUUGGGAGUCAGAACAUGGGUGAUAAGGUCCGUGUUCGAAAGGGAAACAGCCCAGACCACCAGCUAAGGUCCCAAAAUAUAUGUUAAGUGGAAAAGGAUGUGGCGUUGCCCAGACAACUAGGAUGUUGGCUUAGAAGCAGCCAUCAUUUAAAGAGUGCGUAAUAGCUCACUAGUCGAGUGACACUGCGCCGAAAAUGUACCGGGGCUAAACAUAUUACCGAAGCUGUGGAUUGUCCUUUGGACAAUGGUAGGAGAGCGUUCUAAGGGCGUUGAAGCAUGAUCGUAAGGACAUGUGGAGCGCUUAGAAGUGAGAAUGCCGGUGUGAGUAGCGAAAGACGGGUGAGAAUCCCGUCCACCGAUUGACUAAGGUUUCCAGAGGAAGGCUCGUCCGCUCUGGGUUAGUCGGGUCCUAAGCUGAGGCCGACAGGCGUAGGCGAUGGAUAACAGGUUGAUAUUCCUGUACCACCUAUAAUCGUUUUAAUCGAUGGGGGGACGCAGUAGGAUAGGCGAAGCGUGCGAUUGGAUUGCACGUCUAAGCAGUAAGGCUGAGUAUUAGGCAAAUCCGGUACUCGUUAAGGCUGAGCUGUGAUGGGGAGAAGACAUUGAGUCUUCGAGUCGUUGAUUUCACACUGCCGAGAAAAGCCUCUAGAUAGAAAAUAGGUGCCCGUACCGCAAACCGACACAGGUAGUCAAGAUGAGAAUUCUAAGGUGAGCGAGCGAACUCUCGUUAAGGAACUCGGCAAAAUGACCCCGUAACUUCGGGAGAAGGGGUGCUCUUUAGGGUUAACGCCCAGAAGAGCCGCAGUGAAUAGGCCCAAGCGACUGUUUAUCAAAAACACAGGUCUCUGCUAAACCGUAAGGUGAUGUAUAGGGGCUGACGCCUGCCCGGUGCUGGAAGGUUAAGAGGAGUGGUUAGCUUCUGCGAAGCUACGAAUCGAAGCCCCAGUAAACGGCGGCCGUAACUAUAACGGUCCUAAGGUAGCGAAAUUCCUUGUCGGGUAAGUUCCGACCCGCACGAAAGGCGUAACGAUUUGGGCACUGUCUCAACGAGAGACUCGGUGAAAUCAUAGUACCUGUGAAGAUGCAGGUUACCCGCGACAGGACGGAAAGACCCCGUGGAGCUUUACUGUAGCCUGAUAUUGAAAUUCGGCACAGCUUGUACAGGAUAGGUAGGAGCCUUUGAAACGUGAGCGCUAGCUUACGUGGAGGCGCUGGUGGGAUACUACCCUAGCUGUGUUGGCUUUCUAACCCGCACCACUUAUCGUGGUGGGAGACAGUGUCAAGCGGGCAGUUUGACUGGGGCGGUCGCCUCCUAAAAGGUAACGGAGGCGCUCAAAGGUUCCCUCAGAAUGGUUGGAAAUCAUUCAUAGAGUGUAAAGGCAUAAGGGAGCUUGACUGCGAGACCUACAAGUCGAGCAGGGUCGAAAGACGGACUUAGUGAUCCGGUGGUUCCGCAUGGAAGGGCCAUCGCUCAACGGAUAAAAGCUACCCCGGGGAUAACAGGCUUAUCUCCCCCAAGAGUUCACAUCGACGGGGAGGUUUGGCACCUCGAUGUCGGCUCAUCGCAUCCUGGGGCUGUAGUCGGUCCCAAGGGUUGGGCUGUUCGCCCAUUAAAGCGGUACGCGAGCUGGGUUCAGAACGUCGUGAGACAGUUCGGUCCCUAUCCGUCGUGGGCGUAGGAAAUUUGAGAGGAGCUGUCCUUAGUACGAGAGGACCGGGAUGGACAUACCUCUGGUGUACCAGUUGUCGUGCCAACGGCAUAGCUGGGUAGCUAUGUGUGGACGGGAUAAGUGCUGAAAGCAUCUAAGCAUGAAGCCCCCCUCAAGAUGAGAUUUCCCAACUUCGGUUAUAAGAUCCCUCAAAGAUGAUGAGGUUAAUAGGUUCGAGGUGGAAGCAUGGUGACAUGUGGAGCUGACGAAUACUAAUCGAUCGAAGACUUAAUCAA
rnacentral:rRNA from 5 species